GCCCGCGUGGCGCAAUGGUUAGCGCUUCUCACUUCUAUUCCUCGUAGAUUAUGAGAGGGCUCCGGGUUCGAAUCCCGGCGGGGGUU